GAGUUUGAUCGUGGCUCAGGAUGAACGCUGGCGGCGUGCCUAAUACAUGCAAGUCGAGCGAACGGACGAGAAGCUUGCUUCUCUGAUGUUAGCGGCGGACGGGUGAGUAACACGUGGGUAACCUACCUAUAAGACUGGGAUAACUCCGGGAAACCAGGGCUAAUACCGGAUAACACAUGAAACCGCAUGGUUUCAUGAUGAAAGACGGUCUUGCUGUCACUUAUAGAUGGAUCCGCGCUGCAUUAGCUAGUUGGUAAGGUAACGGCUUACCAAGGCAACGAUGCAUAGCCGACCUGAGAGGGUGAUCGGCCACACUGGAACUGAGACACGGUCCAGACUCCUACGGGAGGCAGCAGUAGGGCAUCUUCCGCAAUGGGCGAAAGCCUGACGGAGCAACGCCGCGUGAGUGAUGAAGGUCUUCGGAUCGUAAAACUCUGUUAUUAGGGAAGAACAUAUGUGUAAGUAACUGUGCACAUCUUGACGGUACCUAAUCAGAAAGCCACGG
rnacentral:rRNA from 1 species